AUAUAUAUAUACAUACACUACUUAUAGCAGCUAUACUAUUUGAUGUUUUAUUAUUAUUAUUUUUAAGCAUUAACACAUGAUCCUAUUCUCCAACCAUUAAACACCACAGACACUGCAGCUGAAAGACUAAAAGUCAAAUCUGUUAGUCAUGUUCUCUAGAGCUGUGAUACUGAAAGUCUGACCUACAAGGUUGGACACGUUUGCUGACUUUUUUUUUUUUUUCUUGCUAUAAUUCUAUAUUAUUGUACAAUGCUUUUUUCUUUUCUUUUUUCUCCUCACACAAUACUGCUUUGUCUGUAGCAGCUGUGUAGCUUUUAGUCAUUAUGUUUAACCUUCAUCUAUCUUUGUACAUUUAGCUGCCAGUGUAAUAAUCAAUGUAACUGGUCAGCUGCUGCCAGUACCACGGCCACACAGGGGAAAACUCUGGGUUAACUUAAUGAGUUGAUUUGCUUUGUGACCACUUAGCCAAACAUCGGCAAUCAGUACAAGUUUAAUUUAGUUAAAUCCAAUUUUAUUUGUAUAGCACCAAUUCGCCUGAAUGUGGUUUAUAUUGUAGGCUAGAGUUGAGGAAGAAACUUUUAAAAGAAAGAACUCCAGCAGAACCAGGGUCGGGGAGGGGCAGCCGUCUGCUGUGACCAGUUGGGGGUGAGGGGAAAACACAUAGUGGGAGAGGCAAAAUUUUAUAAUUACAAAGGAUUAAAAGCAAUAGUCGUGUAUGACAACAAGGAAGGCGAAAAGACACGACUGGAAAAUACAUAGUCCUGGGAAGCCCCCAGCAAAUUGAGACUAGCAACGUGACUAAGGGAGGGUUAAGGGUCACUUAACUAGAAGGCCUAACUAUGAGAUGUUUUGAGCCUAAUCCUAAAAGUAGAGGGGGUGUCUGUCUCCCAAAUCCAAAUUAGGAGCUGGUUCCACAGGAGUGGUGCCUGAAAGCUGAAAGCUCGGCUCCCAUUCUACUUUUGGAAAUUUGAAAAUCACAAGUAAUCCUGCAGUCUGAAAGCAAAGUGCUCUGUUGGGAUAAUAUGGUGCUAUGAGGUCUUUAAGAUGCAAUGGGUCCUCACUUUUCAAGACCUUGAUUUUUAAAUUCAAUUCUAAACUUGACAGCUAGCCAAUAAAGAGAUGCUGAUAUGAAGAAAUGAGUGAAUGAAGAUUAUAGAAAGAUACCCUGGAGGUAUGCUGAACCCACUUCGUAGCACAGCACCUCAGCUGAUGACUUGGAGAUUGCAAAACAAGCUCCAAUUAUCAGCCCUCCACCAUCAAGCCUAACCAGUGUUUGUGCUGACAUGCUGUGCUUGGUUUUCCCCAUACAUGCAGCAUUGUUUAUUACAGCCAAACCGCUCCACUUUCUCUUUCCUGACAUGCAAAUUUGCAAACCUAAGCUGUGCUUCCAUGUUCUUUUUAAAGACAGACUUCUUUCUUCUUCUCAUUUUACCUUAAAGAGUAUAUUUCCUUUGUGCCCUAUGUUAAUUAUACUUCCACUGAUUCCUCGAUUGUUUUUACCUGUGGUAAUUAUAUUUAGCUGUCCCUCAUUCCCCAUCUGUGUCCUGUUAUGUAAUCAGGCUACUGUGUUUAUAUAAAUCGUCUUUUGUUGAAGGUUAAAUUGUCCUUCUGUGUGCUGCCCUCUUUUGUGCUCUGACCCCUGUGCUUGCCUGUCCUGGUUUUUUUUUUUUUCUUUUUUUUUCCUUUUUUUUUAAAAUGUUAAUUCUGGUGUUUGGAUUUGUUAUUCAAAGUCCAGUCUGCAGUGCGUUUGGGUCCUAUCCUUUUUGUCCCUUUGUGUAUUUGUGUUUUUUCUAUUGCCACUGCAGGUUAAAACCAGCUAUAAAAAAAAAAAAAAAUAUGAUUCACUGGUGGUCAGUGAGGUGUUGUCUUUCCAAAUUUCACCAUCUUUUAGUGCCAUUAAAUUCACUGACAGGUCUAAUUUCAGUGCUGGGAUUAAGUUGGGUCUCAGCUUGGAGUCCCUACUAUGAAGUUUAAAAUUGGAGUUUUUAUAUAGUUUAAGCUUCAUGGAAACAUGGACGCAGGAAUGAAGACCAUAUUAGCAACAUUAGAUGAAUUCCCCCACCACCACCAAUUAUUUAUUAGCACUGAGCAAAGUCUACCAUCAAGAGGUGCAUUACAUAGACUUCUCAUCUCUACUGAUCAAGCACAACUAGGACUAUGCUCGUGUGGUUUUUGUUUGUUUGUUUGUUUGUUUGUUUGUUUGUUUUUUCCAGCAGUCACAAUUUUGUGCAUCACAAUUUAACUGAGAAGUUAUCCCAGAAGGUCAGAUUUUUAAAACCAGGGACAAUGGAAGUGGUCCUGAGAUGAGCAAUGAGAGAAAUGUGGUGUUGUUAAAGGUGCUGCUGACAAAGUAAAAGAGGAAGACCACAGAGAAGAUCCAUGAAUCUAGUGAAGGAGGACAAGCAAAGUGUUGGUGCGAAAGAAGAGUAACAAAUAGGGUGAAAUCAAGGGGUCAGCUGUGGUGUCCUCUUUUAAAAGGAGCAGUAGGAAGCAAAAACAAAAACAUUGCUUUCAGUUCUACCAGAACUUAACCAGCCUAAAGCUCAGCCUGCGGAGAUCUGGAAAAUUAAUUUCUCUCUGAUGCCACGAACCACAUCUUUGUAAUUUCCUUCAAGCCACGUCGCUUGUAUUAGCUUUACAUUGUGUGAUUUGUGGUAUUUGUGCAGAUUCUGCUGAAAGAAUGGACUGAAAUUGCUCACAAUCUGCAUGUUAUGAGUUGUUCACAUGAUUCCUAUAAAAAUAAAAGCUUUCCUGUGA